ACAGAACACUUAUACAAAUGACGGACUGGACGGUCUGGCAUUUGGGCAGAUGCCAGAAGGGCCGCGGCCUCUCGUGGGCCGUUUGGGCCGGCAAAUCACGGAGCGGCAUGCUUGUCGGGUUUGCGCGGCCUAUUCAUCGCAAGGCCGGUUUCACAUUAUCUCUCGACCCACUAUCAAGCAUCAAUAGUGUUAAAUGGCUUCGAAUCAGCCAUUUAUCUCCAACUCCCU